GCAGGUCUAGUUUAGUUUCUUUAUCUAAAAAAGUACAUAAAAUUUCAUGUUUUUUUAAGGAUAAAGGAACUAGCAGUUUCUUAGAAAUUAGUAGGUUUUUAGGAACUAGUAGUCCCUUAGAAACUAGUAGUCCCUUAGAAAUUGGGAAUUCUUUAGGAAUUAAUAAUCUCGUGGUCUUAGAAGACUCUAAAGAUAAGAGAAUAGUUGGUAAAUUGUUUAUCCUAGAAAACACCAAAGAUAAAUCAAUUUUUAAUUAUAAACUAGUAGUUCAGAUCUCUAGGAUAAUAAAUCAUUAUCUUAGAUCGAUC
rnacentral:lncRNA from 1 species